rnacentral:rRNA from 1 species
UACGAAGGGGGCUAGCGUUGCUCGGAAUUACUGGGCGUAAAGGGCGCGUAGGCGGCACUGUUAGUCAGGCGUGAAAGUCCUGGGCUCAACCUGGGAACUGCGCUUGAUACGGCAGAGCUAGAGGAUGGAAGAGGCUCGCGGAAUUCCCAGUGUAGAGGUGAAAUUCGUAGAUAUUGGGAAGACCACCGGUGGCGAAGGCGGCGAGCUGGUCCAUUACUGACGCUGAGGCGCGACAGCGUGGGGAGCAAACAGG